UCGGGGUUUCGUACGUAGCAGAGCAGC
rnacentral:piRNA from 6 species